rnacentral:rRNA from 1 species
UACGUAGGGUGCAAGCGUUGUCCGGAAUUAUUGGGCGUAAAGAGCUCGUAGGCGGUUUGUCGCGUCUGCUGUGAAAACGCGAGGCUCAACCUCGCGCCUGCAGUGGGUACGGGCAGACUAGAGUGCGGUAGGGGGAGAUUGGAAUUCCUGGUGUAGCGGUGAAAUGCGCAGAUAUCAGGAGGAACACCGGUGGCGAAGGCGGGUCUCUGGGCAGUAACUGACGCUGAGGAGCGAAAGCGUGGGGAGCGAACAGG